UACGAAGGGGGCUAGCGUUGCUCGGAAUCACUGGGCGUAAAGCGCACGUAGGCGGCUUGUUAAGUCAGGGGUGAAAUCCUGGAGCUCAACUCCAGAACUGCCUUUGAUACUGGCGAGCUUGAGUCCGGGAGAGGUGAGUGGAACUGCGAGUGUAGAGGUGAAAUUCGUAGAUAUUCGCAAGAACACCAGUGGCGAAGGCGGCUCACUGGCCCGGUACUGACGCUGAGGCACGAAAGCCAGGGGAGCGAACGGG
rnacentral:rRNA from 1 species